rnacentral:rRNA from 1 species
CACGAAAGUUCUUCUGUUUUAAAAAGACACUCAAGGAAAUUGAAUUUGUAGUGAAGAUGCUACAUUAAAAUUGUUAGACGAGAAGUCCCCAUGGAGCUUUACUGAAAGCUUAAAAAAAAGGUUUUUAUUUAUUUAUAGGCUAGACAGUUUGGUUGGGGUGAUAGUUUUUUAAAAAGUAACGAAAACGAACUAUGACGCAUGUUUCACUCUGAAAACUUGAAGAGACAUUUGGGGUGUGUUUUAUGAUCUAUUGUUUUGAAUGAAAAAGAUAAUGAAAGCAGAUAAAAGUUACCCCUGGGGAA